rnacentral:rRNA from 1 species
UCCGUAGGCGGGACUGUAGGCGUCGAGUGAAAUACCACGGCUCAACCGUGGAACUGCUCGGCGAACCACAGUUCUUGAGGCGAGCAGAGGCGAUCAGAACGAUAGGUGGAGCGGUGAAAUGCGUAGAUAUCUAUCGGAAUGCCAAAGGUGAAGACAGGUCGCUGGGCUCGUCCUGACGCUGAGGGACGAAAGCGUGGGGAGCGAAACG